rnacentral:rRNA from 1 species
UACGGAGGAUCCGAGCGUUAUCCGGAUUUAUUGGGUUUAAAGGGUGCGUAGGCGGAUUUUUAAGUCAGAGGUGAAAUUUUGCGGCUCAACCGUGAGCUUGCCUUUGAUACUGAUGAUCUUGAAUUAACUUGAGGUAGGCGGAAUGUGACAAGUAGCGGUGAAAUGCAUAGAUAUGUCACAGAACACCAAUUGCGAAGGCAGCUUACUAAUGUUAUAUUGACGCUGAGGUACGAAAGCGUGGGGAUCAAACAGG